GCUAAUCGAUCGACCUACACCUCCGGGAUAACAUUGGAAGCUUCUGGAGCUACACCAAGCACUAUAUAUAGCCCAUCGCACCGCUAGCGAACGGCCGUCGCGUCCUCUCGCGUUUCCUCUUGCCAUCCUUAAAACCCUAGACCCCGUAUAGCGCCGUCCGCUCCCUCCAAUCUCCUUCAUUGGAGUCGGUAAAAGUGGUUGCUGCUGUUGAUGAUAUAUCCAAAGGCUUGUUUCUCAAAACAUUCGCAGUGGCCGCCUGAGAGCUUUCGCCUCUCGCCGGGCUUGAGAGCUUGUGCAGCUCAACUCUUCCUUCCUUGGAUAUCUGAAGCUAAAAAAUAUUUAACUAAUCUUUUAUUUUAGUUGUGCGUUUUCCCCUUCUCUUUAGAAUGGUAUAUGGUCCUUGUUGAUUCUUUUUCGUAGUUCUAGAAUUAAAGUUGAUAAAAGUUCGACCUUGAAUAAUCCCUUUAUAUAUAUAAGAUAUAUUGUAACCAUUAUGAUUUUCUUUUUAAUUACGAUUUUUUUUCUUUUUUUUAUGAGUUUGUUUCAAAAAGCUGUGCUGGAUUUUUAUUAUAUUUCAGAAUAUGUUCUCUAAAUAUUUU